UUCUGAUCCGCCGUGGAAGCUCCUGAAUCAUUUUUUAGUUUAUCUUAAUUUGUAUGCGGCUUUGGCUCGGUUCCAAUUUUCUAACACAUGAAACGCGAAUCUCAAUGUCUCUGUCGCAUAGUUUAGUUUCUCUCCGUUCGUACUACUCGAUAGUACAAUGUAUAACUCAACAAUUCAAGUGGUACAACCACAACUAUAACUGCAAUAAAAAAACACACUCACCCUGAAAAUUUUGUACAAGUAAAAGUAGUUUCCAGUAAUCAGACCAAGAACUCGCCAAAAAUAAUAGAACAAGACAAGCUUCCUUCGAAAACAAUUUUUAUUAUUAUACGCUGACAUUAUGCAACAUAAAAAGCGGCUCGAUUAGCCAAUAACUGAUAAAGUUCAUAGGGUAUUGAAAAAUAUAAACGUCAGAGCACACGAGCGUCACAUCUUUCCUUCUCGGAUUGCAAUCGAUAGAGAGCGUCAUGCCGGCGCCGAAGGUCUUUCUUCAACACUAUACACUAGCAUAUACACACUCUUCCUAAUGUUUAAUAAUUUAUCAUCCUCAUUAUUCUAUUUACCGAAUACAAGCUCACCCCCUCACCCUAUAAAUAUUCAAACGUCUAUCGCUAUUUAUAAAUACAGACAAAUUUAUCUAAGCUUUAUCAAUAAUACAUAGAAAAGUUUGGAUUUUUUCUAUCAAGAUAUUUUAUUUUGCUUAGUUUUUUGGGAAAAGGUUCCCAGACAUAAAUCAGCUGAUUUAUGUCUGACUGAGUAUUGAAGUAUGGGGUGAUUGAUGGAUCACUGUCUGGCUAAAUAAUUUAACAAAAUUUGUGAAUAAAUUGCUGAUAUUUUGAGUUAAUGAUUGGAUAUUACCAAAUUGCAGUCACUAUUAAAAUAUUUAAA